CUUCUGAAUCCCCCAGACCCAGAGAACUGGUAGGAGUAUCUGGACUAAAAUGGCUUUAAUGUGCUCUAAAUAUCUAGGAACAUUUGCUUAUUAACUAGCUCUCUACCUCUUGGCUGAAAAUAGCUGGUUUCCUUUAUAUCUAAGUGCCUGGGGACACCUUUGGCAUUCUCUACUCUCAAAGAGCCUUCCUCUGUGAGGAGCUGCAGGAACAGAGCUGGUCUUUUUUUGUCAAAGGACAGAAUUGGAAUUUUUACUAAGAAGGCAGAAGCUGAAUAUUCUAUCUCUGAUAUGCUAUCCACAAAUUGAAAAUAAAAUGGAGCAGUAAUAUUCUUAAAAGCA
rnacentral:lncRNA from 1 species